CAAGGCCACUCUGUGUGCAGAGAGGACGAGGCUCUGCACAGGGCAGAGUGGGCACGUUCCUGGUUGCUGCUGCUGUGGACAUGAAUCUAUUUUCCUUCUCCUCAGUUACCCCAGGGUCACUUCCAACUGCCACCCUUCCACCAUGUUAUGACACAGCAUGAAGGCCCUCACCAGAUGCCGGCACCAUGCUUUUGGAGUUCCCAGGCUCCCUCCAGAACUAUGAGCUAAAUAAACUUUUUUUCUUUAUAA